rnacentral:rRNA from 1 species
CCUACGGGGGGCAGCAGUGGGGAAUAUUGCACAAUGGGGGAAACCCUGAUGCAGCAACGCCGCGUGAGCGAAGAAGGCCUUCGGGUCGUAAAGCUCUGUUGUUAGGGAAGAACAAGUACGGGAGGAAAUGACCGUACCUUGACGGUACCUAACGAGGAAGCCACGGCUAACUACGUGCCAGCAGCCGCGGUAAUACGUAGGUGGCAAGCGUUGUCCGGAAUUAUUGGGCGUAAAGCGCGCGCAGGCGGUCUUUUAAGUCUGAGGUGAAAGGCUACGGCUCAACCGUAGUAAGCCUUUGAAACUGUAGGGCUUGAGUGCAGGAGAGGAGAGUGGAAUUGCCAGUGUAGCGGUGAAAUGCGUAGAUAUUGGGAGGAACACCAGUUGCGAAGGCGGCUUUCUGGACUGUAACUGACGCUGAGGCACGAAAGCGUGGGGAGCGAACAGGAUUAGAUACCCCUGUAGUC